AUAUCUGCAGGGACUUCAGCUCAUGGAACUUAGAAGGGGAAUUAAUUGAUAGAAGGACAUCCAGAAUCUCGUCAUGUGUUUCCUGUUGUUUUGGCCAGCACCAGGCUUAUGUUAUGUACAACCUCAGUUAUGCCUUCCAUUUCAAUCUCCAUAAAACUGAUCUGCCACCAACCUGAAAUGGCUUACAAUGUGCAGGAGCAGCAGUAGCAAAGGUGGCACCAUGCAGAAGGGAGCAAGGCACAAGCAGGUAAGAGACAGUCCACAAGACCUAGGGUGGUUUGGUUUGGUUUGGUUUCAGACUGGUGAUACUGCCUAAGGAGGAAGGGAAGGGGCCU